rnacentral:sRNA from 1 species
CAGCCCCGAGCCGCCCGGGCAACGAGCGCCGCGUCCCUGGCCUGCCCGGCCCGGCCAGGCUCGGCCCCCCAGCCCGGGUCCGCCACCCCGGGCCAUGGAGCCGCGGCCCCCAGGGUCUCGCAGGAUGGACCCUGUGCAGAAGGCUGUGCUCUCCCACACUUUUGGGGGACCCUUGCUCAAGACCAAGCGGCCUGUCAUUUCCUGUAAUGUCUGUCAAAUCCGCUUCAAUUCUCAGAGCCAGGCUGAGGCACACUACAAGGGUAAUCGCCACGCCCGACGAGUCAAAGGCAUUGAGGCCGCCAAGACCAGAGGCAGGGAGCCUGGCGUCCGAGAACCUGGAGACCCAGCCCCCCCAGGCAGCACCCCAACAAAUGGGGAUGGUGUAGCACCCCGUCCAGUUUCCAUGGAGAAUGGACUGGGGCCAGCCCCAGGAUCCCCGGAGAAACAGCCUGGCUCCCCAUCCCCUCCCAGCAUUCCGGAGACUGGUCAGGGUGUAACCAAGGGUGAAGGGGGGACUCCAGCCCCAGCUUCCUUGCCUGGGGGUAGCAAGGAAGAGGAGGAGAAAGCCAAGCGGCUGCUCUACUGUGCUCUGUGCAAGGUGGCUGUGAACUCCCUGUCCCAGCUUGAGGCACAUAACAAAGGUACUAAGCACAAGACAAUUCUGGAGGCCCGAAGUGGGCUGGGGCCCAUCAAAGCUUACCCUCGGCUGGGGCCUCCCACCCCGGGGGAACCAGAGGCUCCUGCCCAGGACCGAACUUUCCACUGUGAGAUCUGCAAUGUCAAGGUCAACUCGGAAGUCCAACUGAAACAGCACAUCUCCAGCCGGCGGCACCGAGACGGCGUGGCCGGGAAGCCCAACCCACUACUGAGCCGUCACAAGAAGUCUAGGGGCGCCGGGGAGCUGGCGGGCACGCUGACUUUCUCCAAGGAGCUGCCCAAGUCCCUGGCGGGCGGCCUGCUCCCCAGCCCCCUGGCGGUGGCUGCAGUGAUGGCAGCGGCAGCAGGCUCGCCGCUGUCCCUGCGCCCGGCUCCAGCCGCACCUCUUCUCCAGGGACCGCCGAUCACUCACCCUCUGCUUCACCCGGCCCCCGGACCCAUCCGAACUGCGCACGGACCCAUCCUCUUCUCCCCGUACUGACCUCAACCCUGAACCCCUCCCAUUCAACUCCCCACCUCCAGCCGGGACCCAGGCGUCCGGGAUCCCAGCCCGCCCCUCCUCCCGGCACUCCCUAAAUGAUCUCUCCUUCCCCCCCCCACCCCGAGAUACCGGGUUCCAGGAAAGGGGAGGGGUAGCGGGGGAGGGGGGCUUCAGAAGGGGGGGAACACCCCAGAUCUCAGGGAACCCCGCCCCCUGCCUUUCCCUCUCCCCUAGAAAAGGGGGGGCCGUCUCACCCCCGAGCCCCCUUGGAGACACCCCCCCUCCCAAAAGCCAUGUCCAUCCAGCCCUUUCCCCCCAAACCUAGCACAAAACGGGGUUCACAAGCCAUGGUGGGGGUCCCGGGGAGACAGAAAUGGA